rnacentral:lncRNA from 1 species
CCUGCUGUCUGCAAAUUUGGAUGACAGGGCUAGCCUCAGCUGAUCUUGAGUGUAAAACCUACUUCCCAUCUUCACGGUUGCCUGUUGGAUCAUCAAAUCAUUCACCACCGACACACUCGCGUGGUUCACAUCUAGGUCCAGCUCCUUGAGAGCCCCCAUAAGCUUUGCAGCAGGAUGGUUCUUUUUACUACACUGAAUUCGAAUCAUGGCAUCCCACCCGAUUAUCUUCACAUCAAUAUCCAUUUCUACCAAUUUGCUACCGUGGUGAUUCGACAUCUUGAGAUCUUGGUCUGGAGGUGGUCGAGAUGAACCGGAGUACUGUGAAUCUUUACUAGCCAACUCCUUCUUCAUUGAAUUCACUUCCUUCUGAAGGUCCUCCUUGUCCGACUCUGCACUUUGUAGCUUUGUCCUGAGCUCAUUGAUAUAUGAAAUUGCAUCACCAAGAAGGGAGGCUUUAUCCAUCUUUGACACAUUUGGAACCACAGCUCGGAGGGCAUAAAACCUCUGGUUAAGCUUCUCCCUCCUCUGCCGCUCUGCCUCCACAUGAUUCAAUGGCUCUUCCCUUCCAUUUGCAGGUUUUCUCCCACGCUUCCUAGGCCUUUUUUCUGGUUCCACCACUCUACUACUAUCUGCCUCCCGAACCACUGAAGCUUCAAGAUCCGAGUGAUCAGAAUCUCCACCACCACCACUUGACUUCACCACACAAGAGGAUGGCAAUAUCACACCUGAAGUAAACGAAAGCAUGCCUUCUUCGGCACUUCCUCUUGAAGUCGGUGACCUCCUCUUCUUAUUUUCCUCUGCAACUACCUGUGAAUGACCUGAAAACAUAUUCCCAUUCGCACUACAAGAACUCCUCUUACUGUCUCCAAAAUUCAAAAUUUCCCCAGACUCGGGCUUCAGGGAAUGCAAGUUACCAUUUCUCCCAUUAUUUCCAUCAAAUCCAAAUUCUGAGAAAUUCAACUCCCUAGUGAAAAAACCCUGCGUGUGAAUCUGCUGUUGCUGCUGAGGAUUAUGCAUAAUACUAGGGUUUUCAGUUAAACUACUUGAGCUAGGGUUCUCAAAUUGAAUUGACUUGGAAUUCUGCUGAUUACCAAUGGGAUUGGAAGCUCCAGUAGCUGUAGCAUUCACAGAAUCCUUGAUUUCGACAUUAGAGGUCGGAUCGGAGAUCCAGAGCGACGAAGGAUCGCUCUCGCCCUGGUCGGGAGCGGCGGCUCCGAUCGGCCAUGAACCAACUUCAAGGUUAUUGAAAUUGAACAAAACUCUAACCUUGUUCAUCAGAUCUGAGCUCUGGUAAAUCAAUUCGGUGGAGCCCAGUUCGACGACGCCGUUAGCCGAUGGUAUACAAACCAUAGUCUGUAACCCGAACACCUGCGCCUGCCGGGCUCUCUCGCAAGGAGAACUCAUGAGCCGUUCGGUUCCGACAACCCACACCGGACUCGAGUUGAAGAGCGCCUGACCCGGCAACCCAGCGCCGUUCACAAACGACUGAGUCAUCGAUACAAGGAAGAACCACUCGGUGUCGGUGACCUCCUCAUCGACAGCGUCGUCCGACGACGACGCCGUCCCAGAAAUGAGCGAAUUCAGCUCCCGGAGCACUUUCUUCCGGUGCUCCUGCUCGGAAACAGACGACGGGGUCAUCUUCCUCUUCCCUUUAUCUUCCUCACCUUUAUAGUAGCCGUCACCCCAUCCUAACAAAGAGGCACCCGAGAAAUCAACGCUGGACUGCCAAAAAAUUGCGUAGGUCCAGCUCUCUCGGGCGCCUUCAAUUAGGGCUUGAAGUCGCUGCUGGAGGGUCUCCUGGUUGAAGACGGCCAUGGAAGGCUGAGAUUGGGCGAGAUUCCUUGACGGGUCAGGCGCAGGAGUAGACGUAGAAGCAGCGGAGGAUGGCCCCCAACUAAAGGAAGAGAGAUCAGAGCUUAUAAAAGCCUCCAUCAUAGAAGCGUUAUCGUCGGUCCACAGAUUCAUGGUUGGCACACGAUAUUCCGUCAUUCCAUACACCAGAAAAACCACGACUGAUAAGAGGAAAUUUAAAUUUUCUGCUGUGAAAAGGGGUUUAGCGGUGAAAUACCACUUCAGUGGCAGAGGCAGAGGGAUAGAGAAAGUGGUGGUAUGAAUGGAGCGGUGGGGUGAUGGAGGUGGUGAUAAGUGGUGGUGGUCGGGGAGGGGAAUUUGGAUUGCAUUUGGAUUUGGGGUUUAUUUGAAGUGAAUUUGGGACGAAUUUGAGUGGUUGGAUGAAAGAGGGAGUGGGACAGAGGAGGCGGGUUCCACAAAGCCUACGCCGAUUUAAUCGCAGCGUCUAAUCGUGUAAGCCGGCGUAUCUAGUACCACUAGACGAAGCAAGAUGGUAGCUUCUGGACGUGGCACGUGCUGCACACGUGUCAAUUCUUUGAAAGGGCUUUGACUGGGUACAUCUGCAAGACCCUUUUUGAAACUGAGAAGAUGACUGGAAGCUGAGCUCUCCCGUGUCUCUGGCCUGCACAAUUUUUAGGUGACUUCGCACUUACUAGUUUUAUUCAUAAUCAGUAUAAACCAUUCCUUUCUAAUUUCAAUAACUAAUGAUCAAUUUAACAAACCGUUUAUAAUAAUCAAAUCAUAAAGAACCUUAAUAAAUGUUUGUUAUAUAAAAUUAAAAAUCAUAUAAAAGCUAAGGCUCUAUAAAAAAACAAUUUUUAAAAAUAAUUUUUAAAGGUGUUUUAUUAUAUUUUAUAAAAUAAAAAUUUAUUUGAAAACAUGAUAAUUAAUAAUCUUAUGUUAUGAUUCACCGUAAAUCCUGUUUAAUGUGCAUAACAUAUAUUAGUGCACUCAUCAUGGGAAAACAUCCAGAUGAACAAAACAAGUUAUCCCUCCCUUUAAGAGACAAUGUAUUAUAUUCUCAAAUGAACUAUUCAAAUUCAUGAACCAAUUACGAAUUAUACAUCACUUUAUAAAGAACCCAUUAUUUGAAUUUUCUAUAUAACUCUUAAUGCAUUGAAGUCAUAAAUAAUAUAAAUGAUGUAAGCAUGUAUUCUCAAAUAACCAAUUAAUACUUAUGGGAUAAAAAAAAAAUUUUAAAUAAAAACUAAGAAACAUAGAUAAAGAAAUGAAUUCAAUCUAUUGCAUCAUAUUAUCUAGGGAGCAAUCCCUACACACCAGGGCUAAAAUUAUUCACUUAAAUAAAUGGUGAAUCAAAAUGUCAUAAGGCGUGAAUCACAACCAGUUAGGAAAUGUCUCAAAUUCCUAAUUAGUAUAGAUUCUUUUUUUGUAAAAAAUAUUAUAUAGAAUAUUUCUAGGUUGAUAUAUUAUUGUAAUAUUAGACUUCCUUAUAGAAUAAGGAAGGUUGUUGGAAAUAUCUCUAUAAAUAUUAUAAGUCAUAAGGGGAAAAAGUUAUGAGAUGGAGAUGGACCUGUAGAGACUAUACGAUGUGGAUAAAGAUGUGAGGAAUAACGGGAAGUACCCUGUGGAGCGUGAGGGCUGGUAGUAGGGUAUGGAUACAAGGAGGGGGAAAAGUCAUGAGAUGGAGAUGGACCUAUAGAGACUAUACGAUGUGGAUAAAGAUGUGAGGAAUAACGGGAGGUACUCUGUGGAGCGAGAGGGCUCGUAGUAGGGUAUGGAUACAAGGAGGGGGAAAAGUCAUGAGAUGGAGAUGGACCUGUAGAGACUAUACAAGGUGGAUAAAGAUGUGAGGAAGAACGGGAGGUACUCUGUGGAGCAAGAGGACUCGUAGUAGGGUAUGUAUACAAGGAGUGGGGAAACAUGGGAUGUUUCGGGAACCCAAUAGUUGUAUCUAGUUUUGUCCUCUGUAAUAUUCUCUAUUGUAUAAUGGAAUCAUUAUCUCUCAUCCGUGGACGUAGGCAUGGUUGGCCGAAGACACAAACCUUUUUGUAUCAUAUCACCACGAAAGAGCAAUCGACUCCAUCUUCAGUGAAAAUUCCUUUUGUUUUCAUCUUGUGUGCUUUGUGAUCUUUUACUCUUCCAGAAAUCUUCAACUCAAGCUCUAAUACCACUUGUUAUGCCAACGAAAGCUUUGAUGUCAACAAUGUUAGUUCAAGAAUACAAAGAUAAAACAAUCAUACAUACAGUACACGAGGUUUUAACGUGGUUCAUUCAACCAUGCCUAUGUCCAUGGAUGAGAGAUAAUGAUUCCACUAUACAAUAGAGAAUAUUAUAGAGGACAUAACUAGAUACAACUAUUGGGUUCCCGAAACAUCUCAUGUUUCCCCACUCCUUGUAUNNNNNNNNNNNNNNNNNNNNNNNNNNNNNNNNNNNNNNNNNNNNNNNNNNNNNNNNNNNNNNNNNNNNNNNNNNNNNNNNNNNNNNNNNNNNNNNNNNNNNNNNNNNNNNNNNNNNNNNNNNNNNNNNNNNNNNNNNNNNNNNNNNNNNNNNNNNNNNNNNNNNNNNNNNNNNNNNNNNNNNNNNNNNNNNNNNNNNNNNNNNNNNNNNNNNNNNNNNNNNNNNNNNNNNNNNNNNNNNNNNNNNNNNNNNNNNNNNNNNNNNNNNNNNNNNNNNNNNNNNNNNNNNNNNNNNNNUGUAUCCAUACCCUAUUACGAGCCCUCUUGCUCCACAGAGUACCUCCCGUUCUUCCUCACAUCUCUAUCUACCUCAUAUAGUCUAAACAGGUCCAUCUUCAUCUCAUCAUAACUUUUUCCUCUCAUGACCUAGAAUAUUUAUAGAGAUAUUUCCAACAACCUUCCUUAUUCUAUAAGGAAGUCUAAUAUUACAAUAAUAUAUCAACCUAGAAAUAUUCUAUAUAAUAUUCUUUACAAAAAAAGAAUCUAUACUAAUUAGGAAUUUGGGACACUUCCUAACAAUCUCCACCUUGGACCAAAUUCCAUGAAGUUAAUCUUCAAUCUCUCCAUGACACAAACCUUUUUGUAUCAUAUCACCACGAAAGAGCAAUCAACUCCACAUUCAGUGAAAAUUCCUUUUGUUUUCAUCUUGUGUGCUUUAUGAUCUUUUAAUGUUCCAGAAAUCUUCAACNNNNNNNNNNNNNNNNNNNNNNNNNNNNNNNNNNNNNNNNNNNNNNNNNNNNNNNNNNNNNNNNNNNNNNNNNNNNNNNNNNNNNNNNNNNNNNNNNNNNGCCAGCGAAAGCUUUGAUGCCAACAAUGUUAGCUCAAGAACACAUAAAUAAAACAAUCACACAUACGGUACACGAGGUUUUAACAUAGUUAACCCAACCAUUCCUACGUCCACGGAUGAGAUGGAGAUGGGUCUGUAGAGACUAUACGAGGUGGAUAGAGAUGUGAGGAAGAACAGGAGGUACCCAGUGGAACGAGAGGGCUCAUAGUAAGGUAUGGAUACAAGGAGUGGGGAAACAUGUGAUGGAGAUGGACCUAUAGAGACUAUACGAGGUGGAUAGAGAUGUGAGGAAGAACGGGAGGUACUCUAUGGAGCGAGAGGGCUCGUAAUAGGGUAUGGAUACAAGGAGUGGGGAAACAUGAAAUGUUUCGAGAACCCAAUAGUUGUAUCUGGUUCUGUCCUCUGUAAUAUUCUCUAUUAUAUAGUGGAAUCAUUAUCUCUCAUUCGUGGACGUAGGCAUGGUUGACCGAACCACGUUAAAACCCCGUGUACCGUAUGUGUGAUUGUUUUAUCUUUGUGUUCUUGAAUUAACAUUAUUGACAUCAAAGCUUUCGCUGGCAUAACAACUGGUAUUAGAGUUUGGGUUGAAGAUUUCUGGAAGAGUAAAAGAUCACAAAGCACACAAGAUGAAAAAAAAAAAAGAAUUUUCACUUAAGGUAGAGUUGAUUGCUCUUUCGAUAUGAUACAAAAAGGUUUGUGUCAUGGAGAGAUUGAAGAUUAAUUUCAUGGAAUUUGGUCCAAGAUGGAAAUUGUUAGGAAGUGUCCCAAAUUCCUAAUAAGUAUAGAUUCCUUUUUUGUAAAUAAUACUAUAUAGAAUAUUUUCUAAGCUGAUAUAUUAUUGUAAUAUUAGACUUCCUUAUAGAAUAAGGAAGGUUGUUAGAAAUAUCUCUAUAAAUAUUUUAGGUUAUGAGGGGAAAAAGUUAUGAGAUGAAGAUGAGCUUAUAAAGACUAUAUGAAGUGGAUAGAGAUGUGAGGAAGAAUGGGAGGUACCCGGUGGAGUGAGAGGGCUCAUAGUAGGGUAUGGAUACAAAGAGUGAGGAAACAUGAGAUGUUUCGGAAACCCAAUAGUUGUAUCUGGUUUUAUCCUCUAUAAUAUUCUCUAUUGUAUAAUGGAAUCAUUCUCUCUCAUCUGUGGACGUAGGCAUGGUUGGCUAAACCACGUUAAAACCUCGUGUACCGUAUGUAUAAUUGUUUUAUCUUUGUGUUCUUAAACUAACAUUGUUGACAUCAAAGCUUUCGCUGACACAACACAACCUAAUUAAUAUAAAUAUCAUCAUAUUUCAUAGUUCAUACUUCAAAUUCAUUAAUCAUAUUAUUUUUAAAUAUCAAGUUGAAUCAUGAUUUCAAACAUUAGGAUGUGACACACCAUAUGGAUAAUCAUGGCUCUUAAGUUCUCGGUGAUCAAGACAAUAAUGAUCAAUUAAUGAGUCAGUUAAUAUGAAAAUAUUUGAAGUUUUUUUUUCAUAUAUUUUCAAAUUAGUGAAGGAAAUUCAAUUUUCUCAAUUUUAAUUAUUAUUAUUAGAAUUAACUUGCAAAUAAUUACAUCAUGGCAUCUGCUUGUAUCACAGAAUCCUCGUAAUUUUAUUUGAAAAUAAUUAUUUUAAAAAAGGCCCAACGAAAUUGAAGAAGAGUUAGUUUAAACAGUGUCCAGGAUGAUUUAAUCCAACCGCGUAAAAGUUCUGAUUAGAUGUUUUUCGGGGUUGGGGCCUCCACGAGGGUGGAGCCGCCAGCAGUAACCAAAUAAUCGCGGGGCACCCCGAAAUAAUCGGCAGUCAAAUUGACUCUAGUUAACUAAUUUGCCCUAACUCUAGUUAGAUGUUUUCUAAGAUAUGAUUUGAGAUAAAGACAAAGCAAAAUAAAGAAAAAAAAUUACAAAAUAGUGGGGUCCACAUUUGGUGUCACGAGACACAGAAAUUGUGGCCCUUGAUGGGGUCGUCCUCCUCCGUCCGAUGCUCAUAUAAAUUGCUUAAAUUAAUAAUAAAAAUAUUAUUUUUUGCGGCACGUUUUGCUCGAUGCGUGUCGUGAAAAUAACGUCUAUUCAAUGGAUAUUUUUAAAUGUUGGGGCACGUGGACAAUGAACUACUUUGCAAAUGUAAAAACCACUGGAGCAAUUUCAUAUCUUAUUGCGUUUUUGUAAAACUGCCCUUCACUUUUGGGCUAUUUAUAAACUCUCACUUUAUUUGUGCAAUUUCAAGUUCUCGCCUGCAUGAUGGGUUCCGCUGGAGACGUGGAGUCAACAUAGGAAGUUGCUUUCAAAAAUCACUUUUGGGAUAUUAUAUUUUAAUAUUAACUUAAAAUUAAUAAAUUAUAUUUAUAUAUUACUUCAAUUUCAUUUCACUUAUUUUAAUUUUUUUAUAUAAAAAUUAAAUAAUUUAAAAAAUUCAUAAUUUUUCUUUAGUAUUUCUCAUCAUACAACAAAAAAUAAAAAACUCAUUUUUCUUAAUAUUUUUUUUCUUUUCUUAAUUUUUUCGAUAACAAAACAUAAACCUAACAUGAUAUCUUCAAAAAAGCACUAUGUUCACAUAAAAUCCUUUUAUUAUAAAUAGUAAUAUUUUUAAAGGGUUAAUUUCAUUGACCUCUCGGUCCUUUCCUAAGAUUUUUGUUAAAUACACUUAUCUCUUCUUGAUUUAAAAUUUCAUUAUAUGUCUCUCUUAUCCUUCUCAUUUAAUAUUUUCACUAAUAUCCCCUUUAAUAAUUUUCAAACCAAUAGAGGUUAAUUGUAUUUAAUUAAAAUCUCGACGAAGGCCAAUGAAAUUAUCCCCAUUUUAAAAUUUUUAGUUAAGUAUGAAAAUUUCUCAUUGAUUCAUGAUUUUACGUUUUUUUUUAAUUGAUAAUAUUUUGAAAAUAUUUAGCUUUAAUGACAUGUUGCAUAUUUGUUAUAAAAUUAAUUAUAGUAAUGAAAAAAAUCCUAUUGAAGAAUCAUUAAAAAAAUGAUAUUUCUUGAUCUAUGUUAUAAUUUAUUUAUUUUUUUAAAUCAUAUAAACCCUAGGCUUUUUUUACUUCUUAUCUUAUUGUAAAUAGAUGGAAUUGAGUAGAAAUGUCACAUGGGAAAACUAUAGAAAAAUAACUCCAUCUUAUGUUUUCUCUUUCAACCUUAAAAAUAAAAAAUCAGUCCUUUUUUGGUAGAGACUACUUUCUUUGUAGAUGAAUUUGGACCAACAACCCAUUUAUGUAAUGAUUUUAAAUCAAAACCUAGAGCUUUUCAAAAGUGUGUUGAGUAUAUUAUCAUUAUAAAUUAUAAGAAUCUUUAUCAUGAUCUUAAUCAAUCUUUUCCCAUACCUUUUAAACCAUUUUUCUUUUCAUGCAAUGCAACACAUGCAUGCCAUAUAUCACAUAUCUUACAGAUUUGUUGGGAUUCUAUGCGGGUCCUAAUAUCUUAAAUUUUUGCUAUAUGUUCUUAUUACCACAUUUGUCAACAAGAAUUAUCGGAACAAAUUCUAAAACCUAUCUCUCUCAUGAUAAAAAGUUUAGGUAUUUUAAUACAUAGUUUAACCCAAACCUAAUUCAUAUUAAUGAAUCGUGUUUGUAUUAUACUAAAGUUUAGAUAUUCCAUUAUAUAGUUUAAUUUAGACCCGAUACAAUUAUUAAUCAUAUAAAAAAUAUAAACUCAAAUAUUACCUAAUUAUUAAAUAAGUAUCGUGUAACAUGUAUAAUCUAUUUAAUAAUCAAAUUAAUUGAAGUCUUAAUCAAUAUACUUAUGAUUUAAUUCACUUAUUUAUUUAAAAGCAAAUUUAAAAUAAGUCAAAUAUUAAUUAUAUAACUUAAAAAUAUAAUUAUAUUAGUAACAGAUAGUGAGAUGAGUUAAUUCGAGUCAAAUUUAUAUUAUAUAGUUAAUAUAAAAAUUAUUUAUUUAUUAAACGCAUAAUGUAUGUCCACACAAAUUUAACCCAAAAUCACCAAAAACUUGUUAAAUUCAUUUCACGAUGACGAAUCCUAAAUUUGGAAAUUUUCCUGGAAAAAGUUAGGAAGAAAGAUACGUUUGAACAUUUUCAACUCAUGAGGGUAUUUUUUUCUUCAUGGGGGCGAUUAGUUGAAUUAAUUUUCUUUGUAUAUAUACGUUACUUUUAAUGGAUGCAGCCUCAAACUUGGCAGUUUUUAAGUCUUAUCAAUCAGCUGUCGUAACAUUUAGUUUAGGCUUUUGUGGUUUUGAGAACAUGAUGUUUCUUAUUGAAUGCCACAUACUUUGUUUUAUAAAUCAUUUCCGGUUUUCCAAGUGUCGUGUGAGACUUCUCUUCCUUUUUGGUUGCGUCUUUCACAUGGACUACUGACCUUACAUUAAAAAUAACACCCUAUUUUGUCCUCUUCAUGCUCACCAGUCCUACCUUAAUUUCUUGAACUAUACUAUUAAUGAUUGUAAUAAUUUUUAAUUUAAUUAAUUAAUUAAUUAUUUUUAUUUUUUUUAUCAUUAAAGUCAAAACAACUUGCAAAGGGGUAGCAAGAAGUAUGCUAUUUGGCCCUUAAAGGGGAAAAAAAAUUAUUAUUUUGACUUUAAAGUGUGUAUAAAAAUGACGUGGAUCUUAGCAUAAUCUCAACCUCCAUAAUUGAAAAGAGUAAAAGGUAAUUAAAUAGAGAGAGAAUGUGGAACUUUGUGGCAUAAAAGAAUAUGAAAUCUACCAUUCAUUGAAUGGUUUCUAUUUUGACUUUUUUUUAUCUAUGGGUAUAUUACUUUAUAAGAAAGAAAUAUUCAUCAAUCCAAUUUCCUGGUUUCUUUAGAGGUGAGAUUGUAAAUGUCAUUGGCAUUAACUUUUAUUAAUCUUAUUUUUGGAUUUUUGGAAAAUUUAAAUUAUGUUUGGAUCUAGAAAAUCUAAAUAAAAAUGUAAAAAGAAAGAAAAUCAAAGAAAAAAUAUUUUAAUAUUUUUAUCUUGAAAUUGAAUCAUUUUAAGAUGUAUAAGUUUUUUUUUUUUUUUAUUUCUUAGUACGGCAGAGUUCCAAAAUGGCUUGAAGGGGGGUAAAUUUAGCUAUUAAUUUCAACGAAAAGUGAAAAAAAAUAUGUAUGUGUAACCUAAUGGUAAUAAAGGGUUUUUGACAUAUUUACGGUAAAUAAAAUAAAUAAAUAAAAACCAGGGGAUGUAUAUCCUAUAGACAUUCAUUAUAUUCGCAUUUGCUUUCAUUGUAAAACAAAAUAUGAGGAAAAUGUUUUCAUUAAUAAGAUUUUUUUUUUUUCAUAUUUUUCAUGAUAACAAUAUAACAUUAAGAAAACAUACGAGAGAAAAAAAGGUUUAAAAAAAUAAAUUUAAAAUUAAUAAAUUAUUGUUUAUUUUAUUUUUAAAUUUUAAAUAAAAAUUAAAUAAUUUGAAAAAAUGUAAAUUUUAAUUUAAUUUUAUUUAUUUUCUUUUUCAUAAUAAAGCAAACAUGAAAAGAAAAAAAAAUAGUAUUUGUUUCCAUUUCUCAAUACUUCACUGAAAUCAAACAUAGGGAAUUUAAUUAAAGAAGCACUCAACUUUAAGAAAUUUUUUUUUAAAAAAAGCCUUCACUUGUGGGUAUGGGUUGGAGGAGAUAAUAAUAGUAGAAUCAUGGAUUUAGUGGAAUUAAGAAGUAUUAGUGGAGGCUCAAUCAUGAUAAACAUCAAGCUUUAGAUAAAGUAGUGAGAAAGGAUAAUGAUGUAAUUUCCUAUAUAAAUGAUGGAAGAGGAUAUGGUUUCAUGAUUUGUAUAUAAAGAAUUGAUUGACGGGUAAGCAUACAGCCUGUGGGGGUGACUCAAAUUUUAUUAAAUAUUCCAGAUGUGGACAUGAGAUUCCCCUAGAAUAUGCUUUUAUUUAUUCAUUUAUUUAUUUGGAUAUUCCUUCUCUUUCUCUGUGAGAAGGCGCACAUGCUUAGGCCACGCUUUGUAAUUAUUUUAACACCUUAAGCAUGUGAAUGGUAAUGAGCACGACAAUAAAAAGUAAAAAUUAAAAAUCGUGUUAAAAAACACAUGUUUAAUAGCGAGUUAUCAAUCUAAUAUUUUUCAAUGAUUUUUUUUAAAUAUGAAAAUACGAUUAAUAACUUGGUUGUUUUCUCGUGUUUUCAAUAAAAAAAUAUUUAAAAUUAAAAAAAAAAAAAAAAAAAUACAUGAUAAUAUGCUUUGUUUUCAUUCAAAGCACCCCAUUUUCUCGUCAAAUUUGGUUUUUAAGAAUCGUUUUCAAAAUUUGUUUUCUUAAAGUUGUUUUCAAAAUCAUUUUCAAAUUUCAAUCAAAUACCGACAUAUUUUCUUUUACGUUUGAAAAAAAGAAAGCAUUUUGAUAAUUCAAAAUAAUUAGAAAGUGACUAAUUUUAAAUGCAAAAUUUCAAAGCCAUUAAAUGAUGUCAAAAUGAAUUUAAAGACAUGUUUGGAGGAGAAUCAAAUUUCUAAAUGAGUGUUUUAAGUAGGGUUGAUUUUGAAUUUUCACUUGUUGCCAUCCUAGCCCAUGCAUAAUUUAAACUAUGGAUAGAGAAUCGCAAGCAACAAAUCAAAGAAAAAAAUGUAAAAAUAAAGAAAUAAAUAGCUUGGUCCCCUUCGGUGGCUUGGGACUAGCCUUCAAGUUGGACGGGAUCGAGAAAGAAAAAAUAAAAAAAAAUAAGAAAUAGAUUUAAAUUUAAUACAUUAUUUUUAUAUAUUAUUUUAGAUUUAUAUAAAAUUUAAAUAAUUUAAAAAUAUAUAAAUUUAACUCAUUUUAUUUAAUUUUUUAUAUUUUAUUUAAUAAAACCAAAUAUAAAAAAUUAAAAUAAUUUUUUUAAUAAUUUAUAUAGAAUUACAAAUUAGGAAAUAAAUAUAGAUAUGUAUGUUAUCAAAUUAUGAUAUAACGUUAAAUUAUUAGUUUUCUUAAAAACGUAUGUGAUGAAUCAAAAGAUUUAUUAAAUGCAAAAAUAAAUAAAAUGACUAAUUAUUUCAUUAAAAUAGAAAUUUUAUAUUUUAUUUUUUAAUAGUUAAAAAUCUUCUUUAAUGAUUUUAAAAUUCAAAUAAUUACUUAUUGAGUUUUAAAAUCAUAAAAAUAUGAAUGAUUGUACUAAUAGGUGGUCGGUGACUUGUCUUAAAACAUUAUUGCUAAUACAAAGUGUUCGAAUGGACAAUGUACCCAAAAAAAAAAAUGUAUAAAAAUAUGAAAGAAUUAUGUUAUUGAGUAGAUGGGAAGUGAACAUUUGGCAAUAGUACUUUGCUUCAAGAAAAUCAGACUUCCAGACGAGAAUGACAAGCUAAUGACAAGCUUUUGAAGAUCAGUAUGCAACUGUGGAUUCAAAGAAAGCCAAAUAUUAUAUUCAAAACUAUUAUUAUAUUGAUGUGUCAUGUGUCAUGUGUCAUGUGUCACACACUUUAGCCCUAGCUCAAGAUAAACAAAUUUAAUAUUUAUAAAAAAAAUUAUUAUAUUUUUUUUCGGAUAUGGGUUGGGUAGAAUAAAAUAUGUAGUUAAAUUUGAAAUUUGCAGGAGGAUGGUGAGAUAAAGAGGGGUGAGCAUACCGAGUGAAACUGUGAAAAUGGCACGCGUACCAAAGCAACAGCGUGGAGCCCACGUGGAGAGUGCUGGUGAAGCGCAUGAGAUAAACGUGACAGGGUCAGGGCAAGGCAAGUUGGCCCUAUAUCAAGCCAAUCCAUGUCGGCCCCCUUUUAAUGUUAUAUGUUUUAAAUUUGUCAAGCGGGGAGGUAGCUGCACGUGAUUCAUGCUUUCAGUCGCUUCUCCAACGCGUUGAAAAUUCGCCACGCGUCGGCGUCCACAUCACCCGCCUGCCCUUUAGCCGCCUGCUCGUGUUACUAUUAUUAUUAUUUUAAAAAUAAAUAAAUAAUUUAAUUAAUGGACAUAAAGGCUUCAAAAUUGGCGGCUUACAAAAAAAGAGGGGGAACGCGGCGCGUUUCCUCUAUUGCGAUAUAAAUUAGUAAAUUACAGAAACUUCUUCAUUUGGGUGCGCUUUUAUUUUUCCUUUGACUGCGUGUGGAGUUGAGGACGAUUUCUUGACAUGCUGGAACUUUGAUGUCCAUUACGUCGCCAUCCAAGUUAUAAUUUAAUUAUUUUCCAUUCUCCCAUCCUGGCUUGAUUUAAUUUAUACUCAUUUCAUUAAAAUCAAAAUUUAUAAAUAGUUUCUAAUAAAUUUCAAGUAAAAAUUAAUAAUUUAAGAGAGUAAGGGAUAAGAAUCCUCCUUUAUCCUAAUGGGUACUCUUGUUAAACUCUAACUUCUUUCAUCAUUCAAGAAAAUGAAAAUUGUAUAUGCGAUAAUUUUAAGAUUUUCAAAUAUUCGACUUACUUUUCCAUUACAGAUAUCAAAUUCCUUUCAAAUCCCUAGUCCAUAUUUUCCUUCUCUUUAACCUUCAAAAAGCUUCAUGCAAACUUCUAAUCAACCUUUAAAAGUAUUCAUGUUUAGAGUCGAUCCAGCCCUAACAAUAUUUCAAUACUACCUUUUUUUUUUUUUUUUUCCAACUAUUCAAUAUGUCAAAAACCCUAAAACAUUAAAAAUUGCUUUUAUUGAACCUGAGUUCAAUUUUGUAGAAGUUUCUAAAAUCCUUCCUUGCAUAUUUCCUCAAUGAGUUAAUUUUAAUUCAAAUUAUCAUUUGAAAACUCGUAAAUUUUAUGAGUUUAUCUUAAUUGAUAUUGAUUCAAUCAAAAUUAUUCAUAUUACUGAUAAAAACAAUCUUCAGAGGAUUGCAUUCUCUAAAUGUCAAAUUCUUAGAGUCAUGACCCUAAUUGAUUGAAAUAAAAAAAACCCUUUACUUGUAAGGCUUUUAAUCAAUAUUUCCAUCCCAUGAGCUAUAACUACAAAGACUACAUGAAUGUCUGGUAUAACAUGUUCUAUCUGCAAAGUUAUUAGCAUUUAUAGUUUAUUCAAUUUUCAAGAGGCUGCAACACCCUAAUUUCCAGCUUGGUUUCAAAAAUGGUGGACUUUCUUUGGUUUACCAGACUCCAUUUUUCCUCUUGAAAUUCAAGAAAAAUUCAACUUCUAUAAGAGUAAGACUCUAUCUCAGUCUAUUACUCAAUUGAGACUCUUGAUAUUCUGUUCUAGAAUAAGAAUUCCAUGAAUUUUUACAUGGAAUAUCAUUAAGAAGCAAGAACAACUUCCUCAUUUUCUAUUAUCACUCUCAACAAUAAAUUUGUUGUUAUUAUAUUGGAUAAAAGUUAACAUAUAAAUUUAUAUUUUAUGCUCAUUCAAUUUUUAGUUUUUUACUAAUCAUUGUUUUAAAUAAUUUUUUUGAUAAUAAUUUUGAAGAUCAAUUUGUUGAAAUAUUAAUAAUUUAAUAUUUGAAGAAUUAAUUUUUAAUAAUUAGAAUUUUUAGUUUUUUACUAAUCAUUGUUUUAAAUAAUUUUUUUGAUAAUAAUUUUGAAGAUCAAUUUGUUGAAAUAUUAAUAAUUUAAUAUUUGAAAAAUUAAUUUUUAAUAAUUAGUAAUAACUGGUAUCAACAAUGUGUAUUUUAAUAAGAAAUAUAAAAUAAAUAGAUAAAAAAAUUUAAUAUUUAUUAUGGUAAAUAUUAUUCAUAAAAAAUCAAUUUGAAUUGAUAUAAUAAUAAAUACUUUGAAUUAAUAUAAUAAUAAAUACUUUGAAUUAAUAUAAUAAUAAAUAUACUAUACAUUUACAUUGGUUUUAUUAAAUAAAUUAGUUAGAGGACAUCAAUGGAAAUAAACAACAAAAGGAGGGUAUUAUAGCAAAAAAAAAAAAGUCUACAAACACUUCAUAAUAUAUAUAUAUAAUGUAGAUUUUAAAAUAAAUAAAAUAUAUUAAAAAAAUAGAUAAAGGGAUAUCAAUGGAAAAAAUUAAUAUAGAAUCAAUUUUUGAAGGGCUUUAACCAUCAAACAAAACUUUAGGCUCUUACAAUGGAUUAGAAAAUGAUAAAGCAUUAAAUUUUUAGUUUGUUUUACCAGUUGGUCAAUCAAGGUUGAAUGAGGUUUAUAAACCUCUUUUCAUCUUCUUGAAUUUCCGAUGUGGGAUGAGUACGGUAGCUUAUUUAAACAAAAUUCAAGUUGAAUGUGCAUAGAAGGAAGGCUUGAAACUUAUACUAAAGCUUCAAGAUAAUGUAAAACAACUAAUCUACUAGACACCUAAAGUUGUUAAGAAUUGUAAAAAUAAAAAAAUUAAAAUAUGUAUGUUAUUUCAAAAAUUCAAUAUAAAUAAAAUAAUCUAAUAUUUUUAAAACUUAUAUAUGGUGAAAUUAUAUAAUACAAAUUUUCUUCCAUUUUCAAUAUAUAUUUUCAUAUUUAAAUAUUGUACAUAUUUUAUUUAAUAAAAUUUCAAAUACUAAUACAUUUAUAUAAAAGAUGAAAAAAUAAAUAUUAUUCAUUUUUAAUUUUAUAUAUAUUUAUUAAUUUAUUAAAAUUAUUUUUAAUUUUAAUAAAAUACAUAUUAUAUUUUUAUGACAUCACCAAUUCAACCAUUGAUUCGAUUAGUGAAUUGUGAACUAGAAACUUUUUCAGUUUAAUGACCAACUUGGAUUUUAAAACAUUGAUUAUUAUAUAAUUGAAUAGAUAUUAUUUUUUUUGUUUUAAAUUUAGAUCUAAAGAAAUAAAUCAAUUCGCAACAAUAGAUAUUUGUGAAUUUUUUAUUUUUAAGAAGCUUUUUAUUGAGUAAAUUAAUCAAAAUAAGAGCAUAAAUUAUUAUUAAUGUUUUUUUAUAGAAAAACUUAUAUCAUCUUAAAAUAUUAAUUUUUUAAUAAAAUAACAAUAAUAAUAACAAAAAUAGGAACUUAGGAUUUUUAUAUCGAGAUUCAAGACAAGAAGUUUCAACAUUCCUCAUAUGAAAAAAAAAAUGUGGAACCUUCCAAAGGGAGUGGUCUAAGCCUCAUGGUUACAACUUGCCAUACACAUGAAAGAAAAAAUCGCGUUUAAAAUUUGGAUUUGAAAAAAAGAAAUUAAUUCAAAAUAAUUAUUUUUUAUAUUUAUUUGAUUUUUAUCUAAACAUAUUUUUUUUAUUGAAUAAAUUAAGAAUGAAAAUUUAAAUUAUGAUAUAUUUUUUUUAAAAGUGAAUCAUUAUCUAAAUCAAGUUUUUUUUAUCAACAAAUUUUGGUAAUAAUAUUUAUUAUUGUUGUAAAAUAAAAGACUUAGAAGAAGGAAAAGAGAAGAGAAUAAAUGUGAAUGCUCAUGGAAAAAUAGAAUUUUAAGAAAGAAAACUAAAUGAAUAUCUCGUUAGAGGUAUCCCCUUUUUAUAAUGAGUCACAAAUAGAUUUACAUUGAUAUGGACAAUCAUUUACGAGUUCCUAGAAUUUGAUAAAUUCUCAUAUUUUAUAACACCACCUUUGGAUGAUUCUAAAAAUAUGUCUCAUUAAAACCUUACUAAGAAAAACCUAGUGGAAAAAACCUUAAUGAAGGAAAAAUAUUACAAUAUCCUUUAAAUGCUUUAACCAUUUAAAACUAUUUUAUUAAAAACCUUGCCAAUAAAACCCGAUAAGAUAAAACUUGGACAAAAGAAAAAGAAUGUAGUAUAUCCAUAUAAUAUUCCCCUCUCAUGUAGACAUGAUUAUGCUUUCUUCAACAGGAAGAUCUCUCAAUUUCUAUAUUACAAUACUGCAUCUUAACAUUUUCAAAAUAAUUAAUGGUAACACUUUUAUGAAUAGAUAUGCUAGAUUAUCACAUGACUAGAUUUACUGAAUAUCAAUUUCACCAUUCUCUUAGAACUUGUGAGUAUAGAAGAAAUUGUGGGAGAUAUGCUUAAUUCUAUCACCUUUUAUAAAUCCUUCUUUAAAUUGCGUAAUAUAAGAAACAUUAAAUAUCAUGUAACUUGGUAGCAUGAUCUUUAAUGAAGGAUAGUCCACAUGAUUUCUAAAUAUGUUGGAUCAUUGACCUUAGUACACAUUCACGAUUUGUUUUAUGAAUUGAGAGUAUCUUUGAAUGAUCUAAAAAGGUGAUCAUCAUCAUUGCUUGAUUGAUCUGCAAGAUACCAUAAUAUGUGUUUGACUAUAUCUGAAUGUCUUUUAGUUGUCUCCAUAGUUUAAACAUAAUAGUGAAGUGACAAUCAAAUCAACUUUGAAUUUUAACAAAUUAAGAAUCUCUAAUCUCUAUAAUCCGAUUCAAAAAUAAAAAAUUUUCACAAUUUCUUCAUAGUUUCUGGUUAUGAAAACACAUAAAAUUCAUAUAGCUUCAGACUAUGAGUCAUAUAAAAAUUUUUAUAUGCAUGUAUAAGAUAAUAGCUUCAAGCUUUGAAAAUUUAUCACAAUUAUAUUCUUCUUCAUAGCUACAAGUUAAGAGAAUUUCUCAUUUAUAUGAUUCCACAUAUAUUGCUUAAUUAGAAUUGUAUAAAAAGAAAAACUAAACUAAGAAUAAAAAUUAUACAAACAUUCCAUAAUAUUAAUUAAUAAUAAAAAUAAAAGAGAACAAUUUUGUCAUAAUUUCUUAUUUAUGAACUCAGCUUCCAUAGUAGAAGUAGCAGUCAAGGUCUGCUUAACGCUCCUCCAAGAUAUAGCUCCACCGGCCAAUAUAAAAAUGUAUCCAGAUGUUGAUUUACGGGAAUCAACAUAGCCAGCAAAGUCUGAAUUUGAGUAGCUAACAACCUUUAAAUUGCUUGUCCGUCAGUACAUAAGCUUGUAGUAUUUGGUUCCUUGAAGAUAUCUCAUCACUUUCUUUGCAACUCUCUAGUGGUCCAAACCUAGGUUACUCUGAUAUCGUCCUAACAUUCCAACAACAAACGCAAUGUCAAGCCUUGUGUAGACCUGAGCAUACAUCAGACUUCUGACUACAGAAGCAUAUGGAAUCUUCUUCAUAUGUUUCCUCUCAAGAUUGUUUUUCGGGCAUUGGUUCAGAUUGAACCUAUCACCCUUCACUAUGGGAGAAACACUAGGUGAACAAUUCUUCAUUCGAAAUCUCUUUAAAACUUUAUUGAUAUAGGUUUCCUGAGACAGACGUAAAAUACCUUAAAAUUUGUCUCUAUGGAUCUUAAUGCCAAUGACAUAAGAUGCCUCACCCAUAUCCUUAAUGUCAAAAUUUUUAGAGAGGAAUUGUUUCACCUCAUGAAGUAAACUCUUAUCAUUGGUUGCAAGUAAGAUGUCAUUCACGUAUAAAACAAGAAAACAAGCUUUACUUCCACUAACCUUAAGGUAUAUGCAUUGAUCCAUAACAUUUUCUACAAAACCAAAUGAAGAAAUUACGUUAUGGAAUUUUAAAUACCAUUGGCGGGAUGCUUGUUUUAAACCGUAUAUGGAUUUCUUGAGCUUGCACACUAUUACUAGAAGGGAAUCCUUCAAGUUGUUUCAUGUAAAACCUCUCCCUCUACCUUUCCAUUAAGAAAUGCAGUUUUCACAUCCAUUUGUUGCAACUCCAAAUCAAAGUGGGCUACUAAUGCCAAUAUAAUGCGUAAGGAAUCUUUCUUAGAUACAAAAGAGAAGGUCUCCAUGUAAUUGAUUCCUUCUUUCUGAGUAAACCCCUUUGCAACAAGUCUGGCCUUGUAUUUCUUAAUGUUGCCUAAUGAGUCUUUCUUUGUCUUAAAGACUCAUUUACAACUAAUGGAUUUUGCACCAUUGGGCAACUCAACAAGGUCACAUACAUCUUUGCACCUCAUGGAACUCAUCUCAUCCUUCAUGGCAUUAUACCACAAUUGUGAUUCUUUGUAACUCAUGACUUGUGAGAAAGAUUCAGGAUCAUUUUCGACUCCUAUAUUGUAGUUAGAUUCUUGUAGAUACACUAUAUAAUCACUAGGAAUUGUUGACUUCUUAGUUCGAGUAGACCUUCUUAAGGUUGCACCAUUAUCUUUUAGAGAAGUAUGAGGUUCAACUUGUUGUUCAAAAGUGCCAGGCAACUCCUGAUCAACUUGAUCUAUUGAAAUGUUGUCAACAACUUGUGGAACUUCAAUGACUGGUUGGUCUUCAGUGAUUGGUUGAACUUCAACGAUUGUUUGUUCUACACCCGUUCGAACUUGAGGGGUGUUAUGAACAACAAAAAAUUUAUCACUCGAAGUGGAAAGUUGAGACUCUGUAUGAUCAAAAUCAAAAACUAUGUUUCUGAAUUGAUCGCUCCCACUGACUAAGUCAUAUUCAAGAAAUUUAGCAUUUUUUUAUUCCACAAUCCUAGUGCUAUGAGAUAGACAGUAAAAUAUGUACCCCUUAGACCUUUCAACAUAUCCAAUGAAAUACCCACUUAUAGUCCUUGGGUCUAGUUUCUUCUCUUGCGGAUUAUAAAUUCUCACUUCAAACAAGCAUUCCCAAACGUGCAUAUGUUGCAAACUCGGUUUCCAACAUUUCUAUAACUCAAAUGGCGUAUUCGAGACAACCUUGGUUGGAACUCGGUUUAAUAUAUACAUUGUCGUCUUAAGUGCUUUAGUCCACAAAAAUCUAGGAAGUUUUGAGCUGCUCAGUAUACUCCUCACCAUGUUCAAUAAAGUUCAGUUUCUUCUCUCUGCUACACCAUUUUGGUUUGGAGAACCAGACAUGGUAUAUUGGGCAACAAUCCCAUGUUCUUGAAGAAACUUCACAAAUGACCCAGGUGCUUGUCCAGCUUCCAUGUAUCUACCAUAAUAUUCUCCACCUCUAUUUGAUCUCAUGAUCUUAAUUUGUUUACCGCAUUGUUUCUUUACUUUUGCCUUGAAAACCUUAAAGACAUCUAAUGCUUCAUUUUUGUUGUGAAACAUGUAGAGAUACAUGUAUCGUGAGUAAUCAUCUAUGAAAGAGAUGAAGAAUUUCUGACAAUGAGAGUCCAUGUCUAGACUACAUAUAUCAGUAUGUAUGAUAUCUAAUAUGGCAGAACUCCUAGUAGCACCUUUCUUUGACUUGUUGGUUUGUUUUCCUUUAAUGUAGUCCACACAACUCUCAAAGUCAGUAAAAUCAAGAGUACUAAGUCCCCCAUCAUUUACCAACCUUUUGAUUCUAUCUAUGGAGAUAUGACCUAAUAUCUAGUGCCAUAAUAUAGAGGAAUCCUCAUUUACAACACAUCUCUUAAUGCUAGUUUGGACAUGUAAUGAAUUAUAAGUGGUAUAAUUUUGUAAGAAUAUGCGAUAAAGACCAUAAGACAAAAUAAUAUUUCCAACACAAUUAGAUUUAUAUGUCAAACUGAAAGAUGUUUAUGAAAAAUGAAAGGAAUAUCCAAAAGGUACAAGUCUUGAAACUAAAAUCAAGUUUCGUGAGAAAUUUGGUACAUAAAAGGUCCUUUGCAAUUCUAAAACAAAACCACCAUCUAAAGUUAAAUAACACGUCCCUAUUGCUUCCACAUAUGAGCCCAUCUUGUUUCCGAAUAAGAUGAAUUGCUCACUUCUCACUAGCUUCCUUAGGUUUUGCAUACCCUACAAGGAAUUUGAAAUGUGGAUUGUAGAUCCAGAAUCAAUCCACUAUGUGUUGAUAUUUACGUUAACCAUAUUAGAUUCAUAACAAACAAACGAGGUAGGGUUACCUUUCUUCUCAAGCCAUUUUUGGAAUUUCAGACAUUUCUGCUUCACGUGUCCCUUCUUUUUACAGAAGAAACACUUUUCGUCUUUCUUAAUGUCAACUUUGGGAGGAAUUUGAUGCUUCAUUUUCUGACUAGUUUGAGAUUUUCCUUUCUUUUGCGUUACCAACACGACACUUUCUCCUUGCUCCAUCAUUAACCUUCCUUCCCCUUGAACACACAUGGUCAUCAAUUCAUUGAUAGACCACUUAUCCUUAUGUGUGUUGUAAGAGAUUUUGAAAGGUCCAUAUUGAGGCGAAAGAGUAUUGAGGAUAAAGUGCACCAAAAAGGAUUCACACAUUUCUACCUCAAGCUUCUUCAGUUGAGCCACUACGUCCCUCAUUUCCAUGAUGUAUUCGCGUACACCUUUUAUAUCGGUGAACUUUAGGGAUGUGAACUUCAUAAUUAGGGUGUUCGCCAAGGCUUUAUCCGAAGUGAUGAAUUGCUCAUCAAUAGCCUUUAGCAAUUCAUGGACAUUCUCGUGCUGCUCGAUUGAACCAUGUAUACCAGCACUAAUCUUAGUCUUAAUAUACAUCACGCUGAGGCGAUUAGAUUUUUCCCAACGUUCGUAUAAUAGAAUUUGAUCAGGUGUGAUGGUAUCACUGAUCUUAAGUGGUUCAUCUUUUUUGAUGGCAUAAUCUAUGUCCAUGCACUCCAAUUGAAUAAGAACUCUCUCAUUCCAAAUCUUAAAGUUAUCCCCCUUAAGUUUAGGAACCUUACAACAAAUAUUAGAAAUAUUAGGUAAAACUACACAAAAAGAUUACAAGCUUAUUAAUAUUUGAGGCUUAAAAUAAAUUCAUGUUUUACUAAUGUAAAACAUGCUUAAAAUUUGAAUCUAAUUUUAUUAAAAUUUGUCUGUAGGUUAAAUAUCUAAUUCAAUCAUAUUUAUUAUCUUUAUGAUAGAUUUUAUCAAACUAUUUUUACUUAAUUCAUAAUUUUAAUGUUUAUUAUGAUUAUAGUUUGAUAUCUUCUAUCUUUAAACUUUAUGAUAAACUAUUAAAUUAAUUAUUCCUAACUCUUGUGGGUAAAUUAGGAAAAACUAAUUUUAAUAUUUUAUCCUAAUUAAUUAUAUAAACAAAAUAAAAUCCCUAUGGGGCAAAAUCGCUAUAUUUUUAUAAUUAAUUACAAUUAAUAUUCAUUAUGUGAUCCUUAUCCACUUAAUAUAUAAUUUUAUAUAAUUAAAGAUGUUGUGACUACUUCUUAAUUAUUUAAAAUUAUAUGAUUCACUAGACAUUAAAAACUAUAUUUUAGGCUCUAUUUAAUACCUAAGAAUAAUUAUGCAGUAAAAUAAUAGGCAACCACAAAGUUGUUAAUGAAUUAUUCAUAACUUAAUUGUUCACCCCAAAUAAUUAUUUUAAUUAAUUUGUGAACAGUUUAUGAAUCUUAAUGUGCUAAAUAAUUUUAACUAAAAUUAUAUGUUAUAACUAUAAUUUAUCUAGCACAAUUUAGGCAAUAUUGCAUGCAAAUAAAAUUAUAAAUUUACAUAUACAAUAACUUAAAUAAAUUGUACCAACAUAAUAUUGGCAUGAAUAAUACAAACAUACAAAUUAGCACAAAUCAAACUCUAAUAUCUCACGGAAGGUGGUGUAGUACUGAAGAAAAUCUUAAGAGACAAGUUCAAGGACUAAAAUGAUAUAUUUAGAGUUGUGAUUUCCCAUCAAAACCACGUCGUUGUCGUUGUCAUUGCCACAAUUUCAAAACAGUUAUGGGUCACGUUCUUGGACUAUAGGGAAUGUGGAAGACUUGGUUAGAGGUGUUGGACCACCUCAGAUAAACUCCUACAAUUAAUAGACAUUAUUACCCAUUUUGUGAAACGAGUCUUGUGGGCGUGUAACAGAAAUAACAUUAAUAACAACACUUUUUUCCUUUCUUAUCCACUUCUUACCUAGGACAAACACUUGGAGAAUCUUCCUCCAAUCCCCUAAAGAUUUCAUGGUUUGACUAAAACAAAAAGAAACAUGAUGGUUGGAGGUUGCUUAAUGUGCUUAUUCUAUAAGCCAAUAAUUAAACCAUGAUAUGCACGGAUAUAAGGUGAGACAUCUUUAUCCACAAUCAUCAAGAAAUUUCUAAAGUUUUUUAGGAUAUAUGUUUAGGUUAUUGUAAAGGAAUAUUUUUUGUUCAAUUUUUUCAUAUAUCUUUUUUCAUUUUUUUUUUAUAAAAAUAAACAUGAACUAACUCAUUUGAUAGGGUACUCAAGAUUGCGUGACAAAUUUUAUUGAAUAUAUGAACAAAUAUGAACAAAUAUGAAAAUAUAGAAAACCAAAAUUUGAAUAGUGAAGAAAAUCACAUUAGUUGUUACUUAAAUAAGUGAAAAAGAUUUUCUAUAUUUUAUUUUUUUUAAUAUAGAAAAAUAUUUUCCACUUAUUCAAGAAUAAUUCCUCAUAGUUAGGAAUUAUCGGACAAUUUUUUUUUUCUCACCCACUUUCUAGGUGGGAUAGGAAACUCAGGCAAUGUUUCUUCAUGUAAUUGUCAUAAUUGAAGUUGUUUAAUUGCAACAGCCAUCACAUGAAAAUUUGGACUACAUCCCACAACAAAAUAUAAAAUUUUAGGUUAUGUUUGGUUAGCAAAAAUUGAGAAAAAAAUGGAGGGGAAAGAAAAUAAAGAAAAAAAAAAUAAAAGAAAAAAAAAAGAUUUAAAGUCAAUAAAUUAUUUUUAUAUACUAUUUUAAAUUUAUUUCAUAUUUUUUUUCUCUUUUAUCUAAAGAUUAAACAGGUUUACGAUGAAUUUGAAAAAUCUUUAAAACUCGGGAUAAGUUUGACUAUGAAUUUAUUAUUCAAUCUUGCCCCGAUUAUACAUAAUAUUCAAUAAAAAAAUUAUUUUAUUGAUUUUUUUUCAAUUUCAACUUUUUUAAUAUAUAAAAAAUAUUAUUUUUAAUAAAAAUAAAUUAUAAAUAUUUAUAAUAUUUAUUUAAUUAUAAAUUGUGUUUGUUUUUUAAUAGAAUUUAAUAUUUAAAAAAUAAAAAAUUAAAUGGGCCAAUAUGGAAAAUUUCCAUACCUACCCCACCCCACCUUGAAUAAAUUUUUUUUAGUGGUAAAAAAGAGAAUUUAUUUAAAUGAAAAAUAAGAGAUUGGGAUGAGAUGAACUCUUCUGUAUUUGUCCCGUUGUCAUCUUAUGGAUAAAUCCUAUCUAAUAAUUGUAUCCAUGGUUUUGGCAUGGAAGCGAAAGAAGUAAACAAAGAACAAAUCCAAACGGAAAUGGUUAAGAAGAAGAGUAGGUGCGUAGAAAAUAGUAUAAAAAGAGAGGAGAUAUAGAUUGGGUAUUUAUAAAACUCCCAAUCUCUUAAAUAUAAAUAAUAAUAAAAUUAUAAGAUAUAUAAGUAAAAGUUUGAUGUCAUAAUUUGAUUGAUAUGUGUUAUAUAGGGUGGGCGUUGGCGGCUUGAAACUUGAAAAGCGUGGUGAUGGAGAGACGAGGAUCAGUAAAGUGGGAGGGGCAUUUAACUAGUACGGAUAUUAAAAAAAAUGAUACUUCCAAAAAAAAUUCUUAAAAUAUCGCGGUUAUAAAAUUAUUGAUAAAUCUACUAUAUUUUUUGCUACUUUAAAAGGUGUUUUUUGAAGAGAUAUAUUCCGUAUUUUUUAUAUCAACGAUACAUGUUAAAAAAAAUUGAAUUUACAUUAAUGGUGUCUUUUCAAGAGACAUCUUUCAUAAUUCCAUAAAAUUAAAUUUGUGCUAAAUGAGUUUCUUCGAAAGACACUUUUCCUAUAUUUUUUAUUAGUCAUACGCAUUAAAAGAAAUUGAAUUUAUACUAAAGAAUUAUCAUUUCUACAAUACCAUAAAAUUAAAUUUAUAUUAAAGGUGUCUUUUCAAGAUAUCUUCUACAAUUUUCAUAUCAGUCACACAGUGAAAAAAAAUGAAUUUACAUUGAAGACGUCUCUACAAUUAAACAAAAUUGAAUUUAUAUUAAAGAAAUAUCAUUUCCAUAAUACCAUAAAAUUAAAUUUAUACUAAGCUUAUAUUUGGUUCUUGGAAAGUACUAAAGAAAGAAAAAAAUUAUUAAGGAAAAUAAUUUUCUCAUGUUUGGUUAUCUUAUAAAAAAUAAUAUAUAAGUAAGAUUAAUUAAAAAUUUAUAUAUUUUCAAAUUAUUUAAUUUUUAUAUUGGAAAGUGAAAAUAAGUAAAAUGAGUUUGAAGUAAUAUGUAAAAAUAAUUAUUGAUUUUAAAUUCAUUGCUAUUUUUCCUCGUUUUUUCUUUCCUUCCAUUUUUUAUUUCUAUUUUCUUUUCCUUACAUUUUUCGGGAACCAAACAUAACCUAAAGGUGUUUCUUGAAAAGACAUCUUCCACAAUUUUCAUAUCAGUUACACAAUAAAAAAAAAAUGAAUUUAUAUUGAAGACAUUUCUAUAAUUAAAUAAAAUUGAAUUUAUGCUAAAUGUGUCUUUUAAAGAAACACUUUUCAUAAUUUUUAUAUUAGUUACCUAUUGAAAAAAUUAAAUUUAUACUACAAGUAUCUUUCGAAAGAAAAUCUUUCAAUAUAAAUUUAAUUUUAUAAAAGUAUGAAAUAUGCCUUUUAAAAAUAUAUUUUUAGUAUAAAUUCAAUUUUUUCAUUAUACAAUUGAUAUGAAAAUUAUGAAAAAUAUCUAUUUAAAAGACAUUUUUAAUAUAAAUUUAAUUUUAUAGAAUUUUAAAAUGUGUCACUUAGAGAGACACUUUUAAGGUAAAUUCAAAUUUUUUUAAUAUGUAUUAUUAAUAUAAAAAUUGUAAAAUGUGUUUUUUGUCUUUUUUUAAUGUAAAUUCAAUUUUUUUAAAUAUGUACCAUUGAUAUAAAAAUAAUAAAAGAUAUUUUUUAAAAUGCCAUAAAGUAAUAUAGAUUUGAAAAUAUUUUUUAAUGUAUUAUAAUUUUUUUAAUUAAUUUUAAAUUUACCGUACAAUUCUGAAAAAGCCGGGCAGGCAGCAUGUGAGGGAAAGGCAGGGCAGCAAUGGGCACGAGUUUGGCGUGAGAAGAACUAGGCGUGUGGGACCCAUUAUUAUUUUUCAAUUGAGUAAUUAAUUUUGUUAUGAUUAUGAAUAAAAAUCUGAUUUGGGCUCCCCAGGAUAUACACGUGAUAUCUAUGUUCGUGGAGCACCACCACCACCAUCGCAUUCGUCAUUCAGUGCCUGUGGGGGCUGCAUUGGGACAACCGCCUCCACGUGGUUCAUGCACACUCUCAUCUACUUUUUUUCCUUUUCAACCCUCCACUCAUUAUCGUUCCACACUCCCCCUCCCCCAUCCAUAUCCCACCUUCCAAACCAUAUUAUUUUUUAUUUUUCACGUUACAAAAAUCAAACAUUAUUCAAAAUUAAAAUAUAUUCCUUUUUGCUUAUGAUUUUCGAAAAUAUUUUUUUUUUAUUUUAAUAUAAGAUAAAUAGUAAAAGGAAUGAACCAUUGGGGAAAAAGGGGCCACGGUGCAUCGAAUCUAUGAUAUGAAUUUUGAACCACGAAAACAAAGGCUGAAUGAUUGUAUCAUGAGGAGAGGGUGACAAUGACAGCCCUUAUUGAUUUUGAUUUGUGUGUCUUUCCCUUUGCAAUUUAAAACGUGCUUGUGUGUAGAAAAUUCUGUGAAGAGACAGAUAGAUAGAAAGGGGAAAAUGGAGAGAGAGAGCAUGUGGGAUUCUGAACAUUUUUCCCUUUUGGUCAAGCAGUGACUCAUUGUUUAGGACGAGACCUGCAGGUUUUGAAGGGCCCUCAGGAGACUUCCCUCGCCCAAAAUGACACCAUUUCUUCAUUCAUCGCCACCUCUCCACUCAGACAGUUUGUGAAAACUAUACCAAAAUGUCAACCAUGAAUGAGGGGGUUUGAAAGCAGAAAAUGGAAGCCUUAAUGGGCUACCCCAGAAGGGAGGAAAAUAAAUGGUUUUACUUUGGAAAUUUGCCAGUUGAGGGAAGUGGAGGGGAGGGUUGUUUGAUUUGGGUUUGUGUCAGAAAUUGGCCAAAAGUUUGGAACCCACAAGCUUCAGGGUUUUGAUAUUCAUAUAAGCCAUGUGGCACGGUUAGUUACCAGAAAUCAUGAUGAUAUUUGUUAGGGUGCUACAAUGGGGAGCGUGUGGUCCCUUUUUGUUUUGGUAUGGGGGUUGAUUAGCGAGAGCCACAUGCCUUCCUUUUUAGUAUAUAUAUAU